AUCCUACAGUAGAAUCCCGCUAGAGCGAACCCUCGUAUGUAACGAAUGAACCCUUUUUAGUGCUGGCCAAGCCAGUUUAUUUAGGCUUAGUGUUAUUUUACUAAGCUGGCAAUAUAGCAAAUACAUAUUGCUGGCCCUAUAGCAAUUACUUAAGCUGGCCAAUUUACUUGAGCUCUAGCAAACUUCUGAGCAUAUGAAAAUCGAUUGUAACUAAUUACAAAGAUGUCUUUGACAGGAACUUUUUUUUUUCAUCUUUUAUAAUAUUUUUCAGAAUUUCUGCGAUUUGUAAACUGACAAAUUAUUAACCCCUAAAAUCAUUCAUGUUUAAACUAUUAUAUAUUAUUAGGAUAGAGGAAAACAUCUUUACGUUGCAGUUCUAUUACCUUCAACCCUCCUUUCUCUGUAUUCUAAAUAAAGACCAUGAAAACAUACCUUUUUUAGAAAAUCAGUACACACAAUAAUCAUGUCUAAAUGUCGUAUCACACGUUCAAAACAAUUCCAACGAACAACUUUUUAGUACAAUUUUCCUGCUUUGUCAUAUGAUAUAAAAAACCAAUCAGCAGGAAUCACUUUGGGGUUGCCGUGUCAAGGGAAAUUCGAUGCUGAUAGCUGUUGAAAACGAACUUAAAAUUUUUUGGGAGAGGAAAGAAAAAUCGUGCGUGAUAAAAACAGACAGAAAAAUUGUUUGUCCGAAACAAAUGGAUAUAUGAUAGCAGCCUUAUAUUGCAUCUCACGGUAACCAUCGGGCUGCAUUUCUGAUUUCAUUCAAGUUCUUUAAUUGACUUGCAAGGCAGAGCUUUAUUUCAGGCUAAUCUGUAUAGGAAUUCUGAAAGUUUGGUUGUUCAAGUGAAUAGAUUUUUUGUAAGAGUGGGGCUGUAGAGGUUAUCUUUCAGGGAAUGGAAAAUUUUCCUCUUUUAUUAUUCCAGUAUUUAAAAAACUCUCCAAGUUCAGUACCGUGAAUAAUCGAGGGGAGGAGGGAGAUUAAAAUAUUCUACUUUAAGCUUGCAUGGGAGGGGGUCUGCACAUUCAGAAAGAGAUACCAUUUUAACAGAAGAGUCUAAACGGUGUCUUUCCUACAAAGUAAUUUAUCAUAUACGCAAUUCAACUGAUGUUUAAUUUCUCAAAACGUUUACAACUCAGCAUAUAUUUAUCAAGCAAUUAAACAUGUUACCGAAUCAUUUAUUUCUUCUUAUCAAAACCAAGCGAUUCAUACGAGUAAAGCAUCUAUAAGGUAACAUUUUAUAUAAUGUACAGUAUUACUUAUCAGUGCUGUUAAAACACAAUCAAGCUAAUUGUUGCCGUAUAUCAGUUUGCAUAACAAUGCAUUCUACGUUUUACUGUAUAGUUAAAACCUUGGCAAGAUGGUCUUUAUUUACACUAACAAAGAAAUGUCAUCACUACUAGUAAAAUAACCGAAAAUUUACACAAUCAGUUUUAUUAAUUUUACUCUGAGAAAAUCUAGAAACUAUAUUUUACAGUAAAAUGCUCGUAAAUUAAUCAUUUUAUUACAUGCCAUGACAUUGUGCUUGAACGCCUGCUUUGUUAAAAAAUGCAGAAAGUCAGAUAUAUUGUUGUUAUGACAUAAAAUUCAGAAAACAGACUAGUGGGCUCCCCCCUUUUUUUUGUUCUAUCACUUUAAAAGUUUUAAUUUCAAGGCUAAGGGCUAAAAAAAAAAGUUAUAAUGAAUAUUUUUUUUUUUAAUUUUCCAAACAUUAAUUUUUGAAGUAAAAUAAAAUUACCUUAAAAAAUGAAAUAUGUCAUGAAUUUAUAGUGUUGAGCAUAUGUGCGCUACUUUGUUUUUUAGCUAAUUAGUGUAAAACAUUUGGAUUUUGUCCAAAUUAUUAUUAUUUUUUUAACUUUUAUUUCGUCUACAACAUUUUUCUUACAUUCAGUUUACACAUAUGUAUAAAUUUUUCUAUUGCCUUUAAAUAUUGCUUAAAAUUACAACUUUAUAAAUUUAUGUACAUUUCAAAUUUUAAUUCUUAGUUUAUUAUAUUAGCUUUCCUAAUUUUACUUUGGGGAAUUAUACGAAUUUUAAUAGGAGUAUUCCUCUUUCAUUCUUUAUAUACGCAUAUAUAGAUAAAUUUCAAAGUAUUUAAUUUCUUAUUUUCUGAGUCAUAUGCAUUAAAACAAUUUAAAGGAAUGAUAAAUACGAAAUUAAAAAAACUGUAUUUAUUUCUAAUUUUAUCACCCCUUUAUUAUAUGCAGCAGACACUCAAGAACUUCACUUGCAAAUAUCUCAGUUAUACAUCAAUACGAAAUUAACAAUCCAUAAACAUUAUUUUGACUUAAAAUUUGGAAACAUACAUAUACAACUGUGAUUUACGUCUCUUAAAAACUGGAAUUCAAAAUGCACCAGACGUUCAUAAUUCUUACAAACAGACUCUCCCACGGUAAAAGAGAAUCCGAUUUCCUUCCCUCUUACAAAAAUUAGGUGUGUUUCAAAAUGAAAUAGCAGGUGCCGACGAUUUUAUUCGCACGAGAAAUCCGCAGCAAUACAGAAACCCAUUUCUGUUAGAAAAAAUAUGUAAUGUCGCAGAAGUUCCCUUAAACAUAUGGUGCCAACUUCCGGACAUCGCAGUCACGUGAUGCGAGCACAGGAAACACUUUGUUAAGCAUCUUGCAAGGUUAGAAGAUGGUCGACCAGCUGGUAGAGAAUACACAAUGCAUCUCCGCAGACGAUUUUCACGAAAAUCUAGUCAUGGAAAGCCGGAGCUUCCCCUCUGCACAAACGACAGGUGCGACCUCAUUGUAGUUUACACAGAUAGACUCGUAAUAUAUUUGUUUACAUAACAAAUUUCAAAAACAACUCUUAUAUAGGAAGGGAAUAACAAUAUUUUUUCGAUAAAAUGAGGUCAAAUCUGAAAUGGAUCUCCGGGGCCAAGGAUAUUAUUCAUUAGAUCAAGAAAUAACCGCUCAAUAUCCAGAAUAUUACUUGCAUAAACAUGAAGAUUUCGAAGCAAGAAGAUAAAUAAAUGAAAAUUAUUUUAUACAAGAAAUAUAAGGAUUGAAUUUAAAACAUUUUAGCUGCAUAAAUAUUAAAUUGUUUAGAAAAAUCUCACAUUUGAAGUCUUUAUUUUGAAGGGUUUCACAUUAACGUUUAAAAAAAAAAAAAAAAAAAACCCGAUGCUACUUCGUGAACCUCGUCCAAAAUUUAUUGCAAACAAGAACUUAUGUUAUAGUUUUGAGAUCUUAUUCUCAAAUCGUUCCUCAAUUACCGAAGUGAUAGUUUUCUGAAGGUUAUUUCAGAAGAUCUAACUACUUCCAUAAUCUGGAAUUUCUGAACGUUAUUUCAGCAAAUCGAACUGCAGCCAAAGAAGGCUCAAAAGCAGCUUUUCUAUUCCAGUUUGGAGCCAAGAAUACACUGGAUUUGCAUGCAAACAGUAUUUCUAUGUAAUUUAAAUGCAACUACUAAAUUAGCUCUAUGGGGGAAAAAAAAAAAAGAAAAAAAAUCGUUAAAUUGCAAGUUCUUUUUUGCUUAAUUUCGGUUGGAAAAAUAAACAGCAUGCAAUCUUCAUACGAAAAUCAAGUUUUUAUGAAAAGUACACACAACACUUGAUACGUAGGGUUAUUGACGCCAGUAUAAAACACAUUGGAGUGUAAUUUGACAUCUCUAAAAAUGUAACAUCUAUUUCACACGCUAUAUUUAUGAGAUAAACUGAAUUUUUAUUUAUAGGAAUAGAGAUUUUUGCAUUCACAACAAAGCAAUGGCAAUAUGAGUGCUUUAUAAUAGUAUGGUAAAUGCAAUCGAUACGAAUGUUUCUCUGAAGUCUAAUCCGUACACUAAUCAAGCAGCGUGAUAAAAUUUUACCGAACGUUUAUUAUUAACAUUUACGAUAGUCUUGGAAACAUUGUUGUAAAAAUGUCUUCAGUAAAAUUCAAUUUCAACUUUUUCUGCUUUUUAGAAGGCACUUUUACGUCAUUUAUUGUGUUCAGUUUCUAGUCUGGUUUGUUUGAUUAUGGCAAAGCACUCGAGGGCUAUCUGCCCAAGGGAAAGAAUGCCUUCGUGGAGGUCUUUAUUAGGUAAAUUGGCUCUUAUACAAGUUACAUAAAGGGGAAACCAUGAAAACGCCCAUGCAGCUAGCACAUUCGCCACGAUUCAAACUCCAGAAUGAAUUACUAGUGUUUAGCGACUUUUCAGCCGCCCGUAUACUUUCUAAACCGCCCCUCGCUUCUUUUUGAUCCAUUUCUCAUUCCAUCCUAAAUAUAAAUUUCUGAUCAACAUGCUCCUUUAUAAGCAAAAAUUGAACAGUUAAAAAAUAACUACUUUUAUAAUGCCAGUUGUAAAAACCUUCAGAUAAUGUUAAAGACAGACAAAAAGUCAUAUAUCAAAACAAAUCUUUGAGUCUAAAUCAAUUUAAAAUUCUUGGUUUAACACAGUGCAUUUGCGGAUUAUUGCUUUCAAAAUAGAUCGCUAAGCACUAUGCUGCAUUUAUCUAAACCGUUCAACUGAAGGUGGUAAAUGAGGAUAAAAAAUACUGCUCCAAAAUUCAGUUUUUAUAAUUCUAUUAAUUUAGAAGCUGAUUAUAUGUAGUAGGUCAAACGCGGUUAGCUUAUUUCAAGAUACUUAUAUUUCUAAACAAAGUAUUAAGAAAAACUUCUUUCAGCUUGACCAAAAUUCCUCAGUCCUCUCCAAAUGUAAUCAGAAACUCGAUCAUCAUUCAGAGGAUCUGAAAAAGCAAUUGCUUUAACAUCCUGUAGAUAAACUCGCAGACAUUUUGAUCCUCUUCUAUAGAUAAACUCGCAGAAAUUUUGAUACUCCCUUUGGAUGGAUCGAAGUAUUUUGGCAAAAAUCCAACAAGAACACACUAUUCGUCAGUAUUGAAAAAACAAUUAAAAAUAUGAGUUAUUUUAAAUAUUAUUUUUGAAAAAUGUGACAAAUAUGGGAAAUAACUUUCUGGAAUCAAAAAAUGCUUCAGUGGUUCAUUGAAGACCAUUGAAACUAGAAAGAAAAAAAUUGGGAAUAAAGAAAUGUACAAUGAACAUGAAAUUUAACACAAUAAAGUGAUAUCUUUUCUGUUUGUGAAAAUAUUAAUGUUGUAUUAACUAAUUUUUCUCCUUUUUGUCAAAUGUAGCAAUAUAUUACUUUGUAAUCUUACUAUUACAUACAAAAUUAAUACGUGAAAUACCAAAAUUUCAGUUCUGUCCUCAAAUUAUAAAAUUUUACAUUUUUUUGUUUUUUGGUCUAGCCUAAGAUAACCAGGAAGGAUUGGAAUAACGAUACUAAUUUCAGAAUAAUGAACCUUUGUAAACAACAAAAUAAUUUGCCAGCGAAUCACAUCAAUAAUCAGACUUUAUUAGCUAAAGUGUGAUACAUUCAUAACAAGCUGUAGAUACUUGGUCAAUGUGGCACUUAAAAAAUAGACAAUAGAAUAAAAAUACAAAAAUAUCUAGUCUGAAUAAUAUGUACCAAAAAAUACAGCUACUUUUGGAAUUUUAAAUUACAAAGGCACACGAUUCCUCUAGUCACAAUAUAAUCACCUAUUUUAUCACACAGUAAACUCCCAAGUCUAUGUAUUUACAGUUUUUUGCAGACAAUUAACACACUUUAAAAUACAAUUAAAACCCUAAAUUAAAAAAAAAAAAAAAA